GAUGAGCGCUGGCGGCGUGCCUAACACAUGCAAGUCGAGCGAUUUACUUCGGUAAAGAGCGGCGGACGGGUGAGUAACGCGUGGGUAACCUGCCUCAUACACAUGGAUAACAUACCGAAAGGUAUGCUAAUACAAGGUGAUAUAAGAGAUUCGCAUGGAUUUCUUAUCAAAGCUCCGGCGGUAUGAGAUGGACCCGCGUCUGAUUAGCUAGUUGGUAAGGUAACGGCUUACCAAGGCGACGAUCAGUAGCCGACCUGAGAGGGUGAUCGGCCACAUUGGAACUGAGACACGGUCCGAACUCCUACGGGAGGCAGCAGUGGGGAAUAUUGCACAAUGGGCGAAAGCCUGAUGCAGCAACGCCGCGUGAGCGAUGAAGGCCUUCGGGUCGUAAAGCUCUGUCCUCAAGGAAGAUAAUGACGGUACUUGAGGAGGAAGCCCCGGCUAACUACGUGCCAGCAGCCGCAGUAACAC
rnacentral:rRNA from 1 species